UUACUUCGGUACAUCGGUGACAGGUGGUGCAUGGUUGUCGUCAGCUCGUGUCGUGAGAUGUUUGGGGUUAAGUCCCGCAACGAGCGCAACCCCUAUUGUUAGUUGCCAUCAUUCAGUUGGGCACUCUAGCGAGACUGCCGGUAAUAAACCGGAGGAAGGUGGGGAUGACGUCAAAUCAUCAUGCCCCUUAUGACCUGGGCUACACACGUGCUACAAUGGUUGGUACAACGAGUUGCGAGUCGGUGACGGCGAGCUAAUCUCUUAAAGCCAAUCUCAGUUCGGAUUGUAGGCUGCAACUCGCCUACAUGAAGUCGGAAUCGCUAGUAAUCGCGGAUCAGCACGCCGCGGUGAAUACCGGUUCCCGGGCCUU
rnacentral:rRNA from 1 species